UUUCUCUUUCUUGCUUCCUGUUUUCUUUGUGAUAGUUUUUGAAGAAUGCAAACCAGUCCAGGAAGAAAUAGCAAAAGCAACUGGAAGUGAUCAUGCUGUGAAUUCUGACCCUGAGCCUGGUGAUUUUUGUGCCAAUGAGGAAGAAAAGAAUGCAGCAAAUACAGAGCAUGGUGCCAGUGGAGCAGCAGCAGAUGGAAGGCUCCUGGCAGAAGGGAGGAGAAGCCUGGAUGUGCAGGAGGCAGCAGGACAGGCAGCACGAGCAGGGGAGGCGCCAGGGCCGGGACAAGCCCCGGAGCAGGACGGUGCUGCUGAGGGAGAUGCUGGCGGCGGAGAGGCUGCAGGAAAAGCUGCAGGGGCAGGGGAUGCACUGCCCCAGGCAGGCACGGGGGCUGCGCUGGAGGAAUCCGCGCCUGAGGAGGGCACCGAGGCACAGCCCAAAGGAAAGGGAACAGUGGAGGCAGCGGAGCUGGGCACAGAGGGGUCACCUGGGGAG
ensembl:lncRNA